GGCACAGAUGCUUGUUGCCUAAAAAUUCCAAAUACAACCAAUACCCUUUUCGAAGUUUUGAUCUUUAUUUCUUUGUAAUCCCAAAACCGUUGGGGACAUUUUCUCACCUAGCCAAUCACUCCACCAAAUUAAAAGAAAAAGCAUGGAAAAUUGAGCGCUAGAUAUAUGAUCUUGCGGCACACAAGUGCAACAAAAGCAAUACAAAACAAAAAGAAAGAAAAAUUAGCUAAUACCCCCUUUUAACACCCUCCUCAUCAAGCCUUGUUUUUCACUCCUCCUCCAUCUCUUAUUCUUUCCUCCAUUCCGCAUCCCCAAAAGUUCAUUUCUCAUU
rnacentral:misc_RNA from 1 species